GGCUUCGUGGCCCAAUGGAUAAGGCGUCGGACUUCGGAUCCGAAGAUUGUGGGUUCGAAUCCCAUCGGAGUCA
rnacentral:tRNA from 1 species